rnacentral:sRNA from 1 species
UUUCUUUCUUAUUGGUUUCAUUCUUUCUUGUUACAGUAAGGAAUAGUUAAUAAAUAAUUUUCAUGUGGUAUAUCUUUUAUCCUUGAACAUUUUACUUAACAUUUUCUUUCAUGUAUUUGUGUUAUUGUGCCCUUGAGAACUUGUUGGGUUUGCCUUAUUAUGAAGUAGCUCUUACUGUGGUGGAAUUCACCACAUAGCCUGCCGAUGCUCUCAGGUAUCCCACUGACUGUUGGAAAUGUCCAAGCCUUGGUAUGAAGUUAACAGCUACUGCUGUGAAGUCAUAAAGCCUAAAGCCCGAGCUUCAACCCUAGAGCAUUAUCACCUCUGGAAACGUUCCCGGCAGUUUUACUUCCUCUGUUCAGUGCAGUUGGUAAUGUUUACCUGGGAAGGGGCCAGCACCAGAUCCACAGAUAUACAUAAACCAUAUGAAAGAAAGUACUCAGUAAACAUUAAUGGUUGUUGUACCACAAAUAUCACGGUUUUUGCUUGAUUCUCAUUGGACAUCAUAUAUUCCAGAGGCUGAGCUUGAGGGACUGUGAUGAGGAUAACAUGAUAAGGGGACCUUGCACAGGAGCACAUGUGAUAUCAUGGCUGAUGCCUGAGCAGCAGACAUCAGGUCAUUGCUUAGUCAUGUGUUGGGUGCCUACUAAAGUUCUGUUCUAAUUUUAGAACUGAAAGUGAACAGAAAUGUCUGCAGUCCUGCAGCUUCCAGUGCAUUUGGUGAACACGGAAUUUAAAGGCAGCCAUAUCGAGUGUAUUAGAUCGUUACUCUGUGAUUUUAGAGGGUUGCAGAUUGCCUUUUUAAUGACAUCAGCGUUGGCUGCAUAGAGAGAGCCAUUAGAUUGAAGAACAAAACACAAUAAUCCAUGAGGAUACCUGAGAGGUAAAUGUGCCUAUCAGAAGCUUCAGUGCAAAGAUCACUUACUUGCCUAGAGUAAGGGAACAAGGAGUAGCAUGCUUGUGAUAAAGAACAAACUCCAAAAAACCUUUUGCUUUGAACAGUUACAGAAAUGAGGUCCUGUCAGAGGUGGGGUAGAACAGGUAGAAGUAAGCUCAGUGCUGGAUCUGGUUUAAAGUGUAAAGCAUUCUCUUCCAGGAUGCCUGGGGUUGGGUAGCGUGAUCUCUUAGUUAACCUUCCCAGUGUCAGGGGAGGCAACUUCUGCCUCUGUGUGGCAGGAUUGGGUACCUGGCUUCUUUACCACAGUGAAGUUCUUUAUGCAUAUUGACUUAUUCUGGUAUGGGCCUCAGCUGGACAUUUUUCCCAUGAACCGGUGCUGGCCCUUUGUUCCCUCUGUUGUGCUUAACUCUCCCGGGCCUGCAUAUGCACUCAGUUACAUUCUAUAGGCAGUCUUCUCUGUAGCGUCUGUCCCUAGAGUGCCAGCUUCUCUUGUGCCCCCUGGUUCCCUUUGGGUCUGUACUGGAACCAAAGGUCACUCACUUGGUGCAUUAAAACUUGGAUCCUCCAGCUUCCUGCCCGUGCACUGCUGCCAACUUGUUCAGGCCUUGGCUUCUGGGACAGCUGCAUGGUUUGUCUCUUUUUAGAAGAUUAUGAUGCCAGAACCUUUCGUUUUGCACUUGGUUUCCUUGUUCCAAUCUAACAUGAUGUGCUUCUCCCUUUUGGGCAGAAGACAGAGAAGGGGUAAUUAAUUCACAGAAGACAUCCUGCUCUGUUUCUUCCCUCUCCAGACAUUCCUGAAGCCAUGCCACAGUCCGGCCGAGACAUUCUUUACACUGUAGCCAUGCUAAGCGCUGCUAAGUAAGCAUGCUGGCGUCAGCAAAAGCAGACAUGGAGAAAAUCAGUAGGUUUUCUGUAGUGGACAGCCCGCUUCUCUUGUUCCAUGAGUCCAUCCUGUGUAUCAAAAGAAGAGCCUUUGGUUACCCUUUCCCUUUUAAUCCGUUAUGUUAAGACAUAUUUUUAUUACCAAACCAAAACAGGAUCCUCAGUUAGCACUUAGGCCUCUCUUCAGACACAUGUGUGAGAUGACUAGAAUGAAUAGCACAUACUCAGAGAGGGAAAAGGACCCAGCCUGGUAAUAUAAAAACUGCAGGCAUGGUGUAUAUGGUGUGGACAAAAACCAAGUCAAUCAACAAAGGGAAGUCGAGUCAAUAUCUGACGUCAGGAGAGCCAUGCAGCAGAUGUAGUAGAUCAUUUCUUCUGUUUAUCCGUUUUUUACCACGUCCUUGUUUUUAUUCGAGGGUUAGUCUUUUCUAGAAUACUGCCCACUGUGUGGCCUAUGUCAACUGCAGAAACCAGAGGUCUGUUCUGGAGUGAAGAGACUUAAGCCUAGCUAAUCAGCUUCUCAUAUCAAGAGGAAGACUGACUGACAGAGUGAGCAACUAAGGGGGAAUGGGCGUGGCGUGCGUUGGCUGUGCGUUCUAACGUUAAACUCCAGUGUGGUGUCGGGUGCCUGCUGAGUAACACCCCUCUUCUCCCACUCACCCCUCUACAGCACUGGACACUGACCGUAAACCUAAGGUUGUAAGGACUGAGGAAGGUGGUUGAGGAUUUGAGUUCCACUUCCAGUCUUCCCUGGUUCUUCCCCUGGUUCCUCUCAGAACCAGUUUCCUUUCCUCAGAGUAGAGAUUUUCAGCUGUUUGCUCAAAAACAUGGUAGCAUUCUUGACUGGGGGGAGGCUGUGAAAAUAUAACUAAUGCAACACUCCACUUGGACCUACCUGCUUUCCUCAAAGUCUAUAAUCAGAAUUUGAAACUAGAAGAACAGUCUCUGUAAAGAAGGCAGGAGCUGGGGAGUCUGUGGGCAAACUGUUCGGUCUGGUUGACACACACAUUCUCUCUCUCCCUCUCCCCCCUCCCUCCGUCCAUUCUCCCUCUUCCCUCUCUCUCUGUGUGUACUAUCAGUGAUUUAAAAUGUUUACCAACGAGUCAAAGUGUAAUUUUCCCAUUAACAAAACUUCUAUCAAAUACUGGCAUAUGUUAGCUGUAUGGUUACAAUAUCAAUUGUUGUCGAUAUAAUUUAGAUAAGUAGGGUAGAUGCAGUAGUGUAGGUAAUUCAGAAACCAGUUCUCCUCUCUGACUGCUCUGAACAGCAACUGAAAUGUGGGGCAGUGGGGCAGUUUAGACAUUUUUCCAAUGCCGAACUGCUAUCUAUCUGAGCUACACACUACAGCAGAAGUUGUUGUCUUGGAUAUUUGUGUGCUAAACAUUUCUAGAACGGACAGAGAACCCAUCUCAAAGACUAUUGUACUCAGUCAAGCAUGUGCUGCAUAGCUGUUCUUAUUUGAGGACGUACACUGUUCACACUUCCUGAUCUUAUUUCCGAGUUAUCCUGAUGGUGACUGUGUCCCUGAUACCGAGAAGGUUCUGUCUUUAUCCUUUGGGAAUGCUUUGCCUCAGAUCCUGUCUUUAAUCAACAGUGAACUAAUUGUCAUUCAAAGUUCAGCAUGUUUCAUCGUGUUCUCCAAAGCCAUGCCCAGUUCCCAGAGUCUGACCCAGUGUCUCCCCAUCCAUAGUUUUUCCUCUCCCUAGGGUGAUGUUUCUGAAUCAUGUCCAUUUCUUUCACUCCUGGUGUUUCUAGCAUAGGCAUCCUCUGUCUCAGGCACAAACAGCCUUCCCCCCUUCUACAAUCCCUGUGCUUUCUUCCCAGUGUUUUCCUCCCCAUUCAUAGACUGUAGGUGAUGAGAUUAACCUAAUGCAGCAAACAACAAGCCAUCCCCAUUUAUGCACAAAAUUAUCUAAGAGAAAUCAUUUUUAAUGAAAAAACAAAAAACUAAAAUGUAAGUUGUCUUCCUUAUGAAAAACAAAGCACUUGUGGGGAAAUAUCUCACAGAAUCCUUGCAUAUCCCUAUUUAACUUAUUUUAAACAUCUUUUAAGCAUUAACAUUCAUGAUACAUUACAAUGUAUUUUAUUUAAUUGUCACAAUUUUCCUUUAAAUUACUGAUGGGCGAUUUUGAAGUGUAUCUAUUUUGCCAAGUAAACACAAACUACUAGUUUGGUUAGGUAUAGUGAUGUAGCCUAUGGAAAACAUUGUUUUUAAGUAGAUAAUUAUAUUCUAAAUUUAAAAUAGCUGCCUGAGCAUUAAAUUGAAGUUCAUCGUUGAGUUUAGAAUUGGCCCUGCUAUAUUUAAUUUUGGCCUUUCACACCUUCCUGUUGGACUUUGAUGUGACUGCUCCUUUCUCCCCUCUCCCUUAGAGAAGCGUGCACUCGAAUUGAUGCCUUGUGAGACUUGCAAAAAGUUGAUGCCUAUUUUUCCCAAAAGCAAAGAAUGAUUCAAAUUUACUUUUAAUGAGUAAAGUGAUUUUUAUGUAUGGAAAAGGGAAAUUUAGAAGAGCAUUUUAUGCCCUGUUGAGGAGUAAAGUAUUUUUUGUAGACAUUAAAUGUGAAUACUUUUUUUCCCCUGAACAACACACUAACUGUACAGGUUUGAAUGUUCCCUAGAACUCAUGCUAUACGUACUGUGCUGUGAAGAGUUGUGGCCUUAGAUCAGUAGUGGCAUCACGAUGGGAGUCUGAGCCCUCCACACCAUUUCCUCUUGUCCUGAGAUGCCUCCACCCAUAUUAUAAAUUGUUGCUGCCUGAUAUUUCAUUCAUAACUCACGUUCUCCCCUAGAAUGAUUCAUACUCAUAAUGUCUGAUGUGGUAUUGAGGAAGACAGCAUUCUGCUUUUAAUUUUCCCUGUGAUUGAUACUCAGUGUUCAUACCAUAAGGACUGUCUUUUCAAUCUGUUACAGAAUUGUCAGGUUCUGUGUGAGGUAUGCCUGUAGACACUUAUGUUCACAGUGCACAUCCUUUCCGUAUCAUCUUACAUCAUAGCCAUUGUUCCCAAUGCUUUGAGUAAUAAUUUUUAGUGAUUGACAUAUUUCCUCUCAGGUUUAUUAGUGGAGGGAUAGCUGGUGGAUGUUAAUCUGAAGAUAGCAUUUAGAAGCUCCAUGGUCUUCAACCAUCUGGCUAUUUCUUCACUCAGCUCAAUUCUGUUCCUUUGCUCACCUCCUCUCAAAGGUGUGCUGCAUUAGGCCUAUUUCUCCAACAUGCAGACACUUCUCUCUGGUUAGAUUCCUUAGCCUGCCUUUCCUAACAACUAGUUAGAGCCUCUCUGUUCUAAUAUGGUUUCCAAUGCCAAAAAUGCAGACUCAAUUUCCUGCCCAUUAACCCUUCUAACUGGGUAGUCAGUCAUAACCGAUCACCUUUGGAGGCCCUGGUUAUCCACGGAGUCUCUUGCAAAGAGAUCAUCUGUUUUAAUUUCAAAUCUUACUUCCCUUUAUCAUCUUAAAAUACCCUUAGGAUUUUUUUUUGAUGAUCAAUGUCAGUUUAUCACAUUUGCAAACUUUUAUUAAAUAUUUCUGGUAUAAAUUGUGAAAGAAUUUAGUAUCCCAGCAAUAAGUAUAAGACGACAUCUAGUUUCAAUGAUCAUAACUGAGUCUUCAAUCUUUGUUGAACUUACUUUGAACUGUUCUGACCUACUCAAACUAAAGGUUAGAUGCUUCUGAAUGCGAUUACAGCAUCGUCCCUUGGGCCCGCCUUGUGAUUUGACUUCUUGGGUCUGAGGAUUGUCGUGUGUAUAUCCUCUACUUUAUGGCUCAUAUCCACUCAUAAGUGAGUACAUACCAUGCAUUUCCUUUUGGGUAUGGAGCACUUUACUCAAGAUGAUAUUUUCUAAUUUCGUCCAUUUGCUUGCACAUUUCAAAAUGCCCUUGUUUUUGAUAGCUGAGUAGUACUUCAUUGAGUGACUGUGCUGGCUAGCUGCUUUUUAUGUCAUGUAAUGUAGGCUACAAGUAACUUGGGAAGAGAGAAUCUCAACUGAGUCUGUAGGACAUUUUCUUGAAUGAUGGCUGAUGUGGGAGAACACAGACUAUUGUGGAAGAUGCUGCCUCUGGGCCAGCACUCACUGGGUGUUUAAGAAAACAGGCUGUGCAAGCUGUGAGGGGCAAGUCAGUAAGCAGCAUUCCUCUCUAGCUCAUUCAGUUCUUGCUUCUAAGAUCCCGCCUUGGCUUCCUACCCAGACUUCAUUCAUGAUGGGUGGUGAUAUGAAAGUGCAAGCCACAUAAGCUCCUUACCCAUCACGUUGCUUAUGGUCCAACUGUUUUGUCAUAGCUGUUGCAACUCUAACUAAGGUAGUGACAGUUUCCGAUCCCCAAUUUUUGUUCCGUUCCUCCCUUCAUUUUGAUAUGAGGUCUCAGUGAAGUCUAGACUAUCAUUGAAAUCAUCUCAUGCUGGCCUCGUUCCUGAUUCCUCUACCUGAGCCUCUUCCAUGCUGGGGUGACAGGCAUGUACUCGUACCUGGCCCUAUACUUUACUAGCACUUUGCAUGCUGGGAAAGUGAAUGUGACUAUUUCUGUUUGUUGCCUUUUCCUAUGUAGCUGUUGGGGAAUCAAUAUGAAGUAAGUGUGAAAGUAUUUUGUGCCUAGUAACAGUUAACUGCUUUUGAGGAUUAUUGCAAAGGACUUCUUGCUAAGGCUGAUAUAACUUAUUAAAUAAAGUAUUUCUUAACUCUGUGGCUAUAGACUAGGCUACGAAUAACUGACUUCAUUCAUCCUUUUCACUUGUUGAGAAGACUGUUGUGUAGGAUGGAUUCUGGACCAGGUCAAUAGGUCUUAAGGAUUGGAUGAAAUCAUCAAAUCCCGCAUCUGUUUCAAAAAAUUCAAGUGGAUUUUGAGAUUUUGGUAGGUGAUAUAUAUUAAAAAAUGCUGUUAACUUGAGAUUUAUUAAAGAAAGAGCUGCAAAUUCUAGCCCUGGGUGUUUAGACAACAUUUUGGCAUAUUAAAAGUUAAAUUGGUAGAGUAAAGUACCUGUAAAGGAGGAGGCCAGGUCUCACAGUUUAAUAAUUGAGAGACACAAAUAUGUUAUGGCUUCUUAGACUGUGAGUUAUACAUUAUAGUGGACUCCUGGAAAAUCCCAACAUAUCUUUAAGUUUAUUUUAAAGAUGUUUACAGAGUUUUUUAAAGACAUUUAAAGAUGGGUAGCACCUAGCAAUCAUGUCUGCUUCCAGCAUUAGUAGAAUAUCAUUUCUAGGUAGAAUUCUUUAUUAUAUUUUCGAUCUAUAUGCUCAUAAUAUAGUAUUUCUUUUUCAAGAAACGGAGUUGGUUUAUUUCAUAUUGAGCGGCAUGAGCUACUUUUCACAGAUGAUCUUUUUUCUGAUUGCAGGUUUGGAGUUGAUUUUAUUGCACAGCAGGAUUACAGAUUAUCCCCAGUGACGGCACCCAGGAAAAGGCGAUAGAAAGUUUGAUCUACUGAAAGCAUGCAGUUCUAAUUCAUUUUAAUUAGCAUAGGGCUCUCAGGUCACCUGUGGGAAUCCAUGCCAACAGAUGCCACAGCUGUUUCAGCUGUUGAGUGGUUUGUCCUUGGUCCUCCUCCCUCUAACCUAUCUCAUGGAGCAACUGUCCAUGUUGAAGUCAGAGGAUUGACAUUUCUUGCCUCUUCAUAGGGCAAGAAAAACUGAAAGAUAAGGAUUAAAUUAUGAUAGGAUUUUUUUGUUCGUCAUAGGAGUGUGUAAUUCUAAGCUGUAUAAUUCCUCAGCGUGUUCCUUCGGAGUCCACUGAUUAGCACUGUCUGCAGCUGCCAGCAGGAACCGUAGGUUGUCCUGAGUUUUAAAAACAUCAGAAUUUGAUUACAAAUUUGUUUUUUGCCUCUCGUUCUCACCUAUACUUGUGCGCUUGAUAUUCUACCUAGAAAUACUCAGGUAUGCUGAAUUAUUUUGUUUAUUUGUUUACUCGUUAUCUUCCUGCCUGCCUGUAGGAACUAAAUUUGGGCAAUUGUUUAAUAUACUGAUUGGAAUUAGCAAUUCUUUCCUUUUCUUAAAACUUUUUGUUGAUUUAGUCUACUUCCUAAGUAUUUUAAAAGUUAAUGAUAAUUUAUGUUUCAGAGAAAACAAGAUGAUAUCUAUAUACUUCUUUAGAAGAUAAUUAAAAUAUUCUUCCUAGCUUGAUGUAAUAAAUUGUGUAAAUUCAUUUACAUUUCAUCCAAUAGGGAAAAAUCAGUAUAUAAUCUAUAAUUUGUAAUUGAGUGCUGAAUUUCAAGGUCAGAAUUUAUAUGUGUCCCCUCUUUGCUGUAAAUCUGGUUUUGUUUUUACCAAAUUGGAAUUGUGAAAGGUGCUUUUAAAUUUCAGAGACCUGUCAGUUUUGAUAUGUGAGGAUAAUUUUGAAGAUAUAAAAUUCUCUCCCACCUGUCCCUUCCGAUCUUUCUUCCCCUCCAAACAAAAACUAGAAAACAGAUGACUAUAUAUAGACAUUACAAUAAGGAGGUCAGUGAUUUGUGAACAGUAAACCAUAAAAUGUCUUCUAUAAUGAGUCAGCCCUUCUCCAUGGCUCAUUAAAAUAAAACAUCCAGUUUCCCCAGCUGGCAGAGAACACAGUGAAUUUCAUAUAGAAUUGUUCACAGAGCCAGACUCUUUCUGGCCUUUUAUUAGUGCAUGAUUAAAUCUGUUAAUUCUUCAUAGUUUGUCUUUGACACAUAAAGGAGUUUUGACUUCGAUUUACCUAUGAAGAAGAAGAAAGACUCUGGGUUCUGUUUCAGACUUCAGUGUGCGGGCUGUGACUCCUGAUAUAAAACGUAAGAAUGACUGAACCAGCUUUAGGUGUAGUGUUAUCCCUCUUAUCUUUCUUUAGCGAUGAGCCACCUAGAGCUCAUAGAGAAGUUCUUAGAAACCUCAACACUUGUUGAGCCUAGGAUAGCCCUGGCAGCUUUCUUAAAGUAUAAAGCAUAGCCAGAUCAGGUGGCCCAUAUCUGUAAUUGCAGUAUUCUAGAGGCAGAGAGAAGGAUCUCUGUAAGUUCAAGGCCAUCCAGCCUAAAUAGUGAGACUCAGUUCAAGCAAAGCAGCCAGCAAGCAGAAUUCAAUGCUGCAUAACCAUAGAUACAUGGUUCUACUUCUCAUUCUCUACCUUUAAAUAAAAAUGUUGUGAGCUGCUUAAUAUAUUACACUUUUCAGAUUCUUGUUUCUAUUUCUCUGCAGGAAACAUUUAGCCUUGUAAGUGUGUUUCCUUUGGUAACAUGGUGAUGGGAUGCUGGCAAUCCUUGUUUGUGUUCUCUGUGGGCUUGUGUCUGAUGUGAUUCCUUAGCAUAUCCUGCAGAGCAACCAAAUGCUGUAGUUAUUCUCUAAUGACCUAGUGGCUUAAGUAAGGAUUCCUUGGCUUAAUAGAACUUAAAAGUAAGAAGAACAAAAAGGGAAAUCCUCUUACAGCUCAAGGUAACUAUUAUUGAAUCAAAGUGAUUUAAAGAUUAAACACUGUAGAAUCUCUUACCCAUAAAGAAACAUUUUCAAUAAUUUAAGGUUUAUAGUGUUUUCAAGAGUAGUUACAGAUCUCUAUAAGACUGAACUAAAGGUUGGGGAGGGAAUGUAUACCAUGCUGGCGAGUAAAGAGCAACCCCAGUAGGCAUUAGACGUGCUCAUCUGUGGUAGGUCAGCUCGGUGCCCUCUGACC